GUGGUUGUGGCUCAGUGGUAGAGUGCUUGCCUAGCGUGGGUGAGGCACUGAGUUCAAUUUUCAGCACCACG
rnacentral:tRNA from 1 species